rnacentral:rRNA from 1 species
AAAUGAAUAGACGGGAGCCCGCACAAGCAGCGGAGCGUGUGGUUUAAUUCGAUGCAACGCGAAGAACCUUACCUGGGUUUGACAUGUAUGUGGUAGGAAAGCGAAAGCGGACCGACCCGUGAGGGAGCAUACACAGGUGCUGCAUGGCUGUCGUCAGCUCGUGCCGUGAGGUGUUGGGUUAAGUCCUCUAACGAGCGCAACCCUCGUUGCUAGUUAAACAUUUCUAGCGAGACUGCCGGCAUAUAACCGGAGGAAGGUGGGGAUGACGUCAAGUCAGCAUGGCCUUUAUGUCCAGGGCUACACACACGCUACAAUGGUCGGUACAGAGGGUAGCGAAGCCGCGAGGUGGAGCAAAUCUCAGAAAGCCGAUCUCAGUUCAGAUUGCAGGCUGUAACUCGCCUGCAUGAAGGUGGAGUUGCUAGUAACCGCAGGUCAGCUAUACUGCGGUGAAUACGUUCCCGGGCUUUGUACACACCGCCCGU